rnacentral:pre_miRNA from 1 species
GUCUCCGCCUCUACCCAGGACUCUUUCAUGACCAGGAGGCUGAGGCCC